GCAGACACAUUCCAGUCAAUCAGCAGCAGACCCUCCCUCCCAGACCCUUCCACCUCCUGGACAGCAUCCAUUUUACAUUCAUUGUGAAGCUGCAUUCUUAGUGAGCUGUCCAGGAGGUGGGAGGGUCUGGGAGGGAGGGUCUGCUGCUGAUUGUCUGGAAUGUGUCUG
rnacentral:miRNA from 1 species